GACGUAGGAUAGAAGUGUUUCUUUCAUUUGUGCCAAAGGAAACAUCUUAACUUUUACAGAGUCUACAGUACUCGGUUCUGGUGAGUUUUUUCUCAGGAUAAAGUAGCGGCGGAAAUGGAACCCCAAAAAGUUCAAAUUAGGGUUUAAAGGGAGAGGAAUCGAACUGUCAGGACUAGAGCUUUGCAGUGACUGCCAUUGAGAGGAGGCUCUGAGCUCUGCAUUCGCCAUUGAAGUUCAAAGCAGGACUCUGGAGGUUCUGAUCUUAAAGAUAAGUGUAAGGGUGGUGAUAACAAGUUGAACCGAGCUACUUUCGAAAUAUUAACAGAAACCCUUUUGGUUCAUUUCUGUUAAUCAAUAAUUAAGCUUCUUGAAUUGUUCAUUUUACACGAGAAACAUCCUGAAAGGAAAAUCAGUAGUUUUGUGCGAUGAAUUCUGUUUUCUCAUCUCGGUGUCUUUUCGUUCCCUUGCCUAGCUGCCAGUUCCUACCUUGUUUUCAAACGCAACCUUGACAUAUGCUCAUAACCAUGUCUAUCGCUGGAAUCAUUGUGUCCCUCUUCUUUCUCUUUCAUUUCCUUGUAUUUCACAUCAGUCUUUGCAUGCUUGCCGAUCAUCUUUUGGUGCUUCUGCUCCAUCAAAUGAAGGCGUAGUGUCUAUAAUCAACCUCGACGAUUUUGCUGAGAAAGACUGGUCCUUUCUUGAUUCAGGUGAUUUCAGUUCUGACCAAGAUUAUAGCCUUAAGAUUGAUCGCCUUAUAUCCGCAGGAGAGAUUGAAGAAACUUCUAGGGUUAUGGUUUCAAUUGGUUUUGAAGGAUUUGUGGAUCGGUUGGUUGAAUCAUCACCCUGCAGUGUCCUGCUCAUUGUCCAUGAUUCACUUUUUGUUUUAGCUGGCGUUCAAGAAAAAUAUGACAUGGUUAACUGUUGGCAAGGAGAAUUGAUAUAUGUACCUGAUAAGUGGGCGCCUUUAGAUGUGGUGUUCCUUUAUUGCCUUCCAGCCGUGCCCUUGAAACUUGACGAAGUGUUUAAAACACUUGGAAGGUGUUUUACACCAGGUGCGAAGUUUUGGAGCAGCAACGACGACAAUAUCCAGAUGUUAUAACUUCUGACUUGCCUGAAAAGAGUACUUUAUUGGAAGCUGCAGCAGAACAUUCUUUCGAACUAACUAAAUUUGUCGAUGAGCCUGGUUUUUAUCUUGCUGUAUUAAAGUUUGUUGGGGCCAGAAACUGAUAGUUGAAUUAAACUUUGACAAUUUCGUGUGCAAGAAACAAUGGAUUCGACUGAAAUUUAUAGAUUCACAUUGUCUAA